UUAGAUUCACUUUGAACGUCCUAUUUUUGGUCAAUGGGGGUCGCUUCUUCUUAUCAAACACAUCUAUUUCAUUAUGGUGCAUAUGCAUGGUGUACCCUUUCUCUAGGAGUUGACCAAGACUUAACAGAUUACUCUUCAUCGUUGGAACGUACAACACGUAGUCCAUGUAUGCCACUCCACCAUUUUUGCAAUUGAUCAUCACUCUACCAACUCCUUCU
rnacentral:lncRNA from 1 species